rnacentral:sRNA from 2 species
CAUGCUAGAAUGCGCCGCUCAUUGGGGAGUAGCCGCUCCGCUCGAUCCGUCGCACCGCUGCGUCGAUCGUGACGGAGGCGUCCGUCAACAGACUUGGCCGUUCGGCCAUGGCGGACGCAGCCACCGAGGCCUGGCGAGACCGAUGGUUCAUCGCGCGCCGCAACAGGGCCCGGCGCGCAGUGGAU